rnacentral:rRNA from 1 species
CCGGGUUGCGGACAGUGUCUGGUGGGUAGUUUGACUGGGGCGGUCUCCUCCUAAAGAGUAACGGAGGAGCACGAAGGUUGGCUAAUCCUGGUCGGACAUCAGGAGGUUAGUGCAAUGGCAUAAGCCAGCUUGACUGCGAGCGUGACGGCGCGAGCAGGUGCGAAAGCAGGUCAUAGUGAUCCGGUGGUUCUGAAUGGAAGGGCCAUCGCUCAACGGAUAAAAGGUACUCCGGGGAUAACAGGCUGAUACCGCCCAAGAGUUCAUAUCGACGGCGGUGUUUGGCACCUCGAUGUCGGCUCAUCACAUCCUGGGGCUGAAGUAGGUCCCAAGGGUAUGGCUGUUCGCCAUUUAAAGUGGUACGCGAGCUGGGUUUAGAACGUCGUGAGACAGUUCGGUCCCUAUCUGCCGUGGGCGCUGGAGAACUGAGGGGGGCUGCUCCUAGUACGAGAGGACCGGAGUGGACGCAUCACUGGUGUUCGGGUUGUCAUGCCAAUGGCACUGCCCGGUAGCUAAAUGCGGAAGAGAUAAGUGCUGAAAGCAUCUAAGCACGAAACUUGCCCCGAGAUGAGUUCUCCCUGACCCUUUAAGGGUCCUGAAGGAACGUUGAAGACGACGACGUUGAUAGGCCGGGUGUGUAAGCGCAGCGAUGCGUUGAGCUAACCGGUACUAAUGAACCGUGAGG